CGAAAAUGCUGGUGGCAACUGGAUUGUAAAAACACCAUUUGCAGCACACUCAGUUUAAUUGCUUAUUGGUAAUGACUUUGAUGACUCUGGUUGAUCUGUGGCAUAAUAAGCAGGAGCCAGAGGCCACGACUUGGGAACUGCCUCAUAUAUAAUGAGGCGUGACACUGACAGAGGGCACCACCUAAGAAACAGAAACCUAUAUGGAAAGAGAGGGGAAAAAAGCCACACAGUCCGAGAGAAAAAGAAAAUGUGAACUGGGAAUUCAACGUCUGAGUAACACUGGGCCCAUUGCUAUACAGGCACGUCCCCUGCAUGCAGCCUGAGGGGGGUGGGGACGGCCAGCGUUGCCAUGGAGCUAAUUUUGUACUGGUCCGCUUCUGUGGUGAUGGUGACAAGGGUAUGUCCUGGAUCCACUGCUUCUACCUGGACAGCAACCUGAACCAUGAUCAACAAGGUUUACACUUAAACAUAUAGAGUAUGCAGUUGAUAUUAACAAACGAAAACAAAGAAAACGUCUUUUGCAUUAUGGAAAAAGAAAAAGGACAACAAAGUUACCCUUGUACAGCAGCCAGCUCCCUGGGGACCAUAUGAGUAGCACUUCACCAACUGUAUCGGUUCUUUCUAGGAAUGUUCAUCCCCUUUCGUUAAACUGCCUGGCUGGAAAUAUAUGUACAGUCCACUUAACUGUAUAAAUUCCUGUUUGGGUGCUGGCCAACCUUCUUAAGUCUUGGCAUUAAAACUACAUAAAAGAUUUAUGGAUUUCAAAAAAUUAAAGGACUGCAGUAUAGUGAGGGUGUGUUAAAUUUUAAUGCCCAGGAAGCUGACUGCACACCAACCUUAAGUGUGAAUGGAUCAGGUAAACAUUUAAGAGCCUGUAAUCUGAUCUGUUAUACCAACAAACACACGCAUUAAUCAUUUCAUCCAGUAUCACUAAUGGAAUGUCAACAUUGCUUCCAUGAUUGUGUAUGUGUUAGAGAACCAACUAAUCCAAUCAAGUCUCAAAUGGACUGAGAAAAGUUUAUUGAACAGAAAAGGCAGAAAGCAUAUUGCCAUAAACGCCUAAGCCAUUUAUUGUGUGCAUCCAGCCCCAUUAAAUGAAAAUGUCUACUUAGGUGUCUAUAAAAGGAAGGGUUGGCAUUAAGUAAGUGAGGGAUGGUGAUGUGCUUCAACAACUCUUUGACUUACUUGGGCCAAGCUGGGCAGAGCUGAAGACCAGUUAGUUUUGUCCCCAAAAAGGAAGGCGAGUCAAGUCACCCACAAUGUGACUGUGUAAACGGAUUUAUGUCCCCACAACAUGAGUAAUAUAUGAGGCCUGGCCCUGUAUGUGGGGAAGAAGAGUUGAUGUCCCCUGAAACGGGUAAGGGAAGAUUGGUAAACUGGGCAAAAUGAUGGUCUCCCUAUCUGCAGUGUCCUCUCCUCGGAAGGACAACAUGACCUGGACUCACCACAUACAGUGGUGUGAAAAAGUGUUUGCCCCCUUCCUGAUUUCUUAUUUUUUAAGUAUACACAAAAUGAAGUUUUUAAAUGAAGGUUGUUAUUAUUAAGGGAAAACAAAAUCCA